CGAACGGGUGAGUAAUACAUCGGAACGUGUCCGCUCGUGGGGGGACAACCAGCCGAAAGGUUGGCUAAUACCGCAUGAGUUCUACGGAAGAAAGAGGGGGACCCGCAAGGGCCUCUCGCGAGCGGAGCGGCCGAUGACUGAUUAGCCUGUUGGUGAGGUAACGGCUCACCAAAGCAACGAUCAGUAGCUGGUCUGAGAGGACGACCAGCCACACUGGGACUGAGACACGGCCCAGACUCCUACGGAAGGCAGCAG
rnacentral:rRNA from 1 species